rnacentral:rRNA from 1 species
UCCACGCCGUAAACGAUGUCUACUAGCCGUUGGAGAACUUGAUUCUUUAGUGGCGCAGCUAACGCACUAAGUAGACCGCCUGGGGAGUACGGCCGCAAGGUUAAAACUCAAAUGAAUUGACGGGGGCCCGCACAAGCGGUGGAGCAUGUGGUUUAAUUCGAUGCAACGCGAAGAACCUUACCUGGUCUUGACAUCCUGCGAACUUUCUAGAGAUAGAUUGGUGCCUUCGGGAACGCAGAGACAGGUGCUGCAUGGCUGUCGUCAGCUCGUGUUGUGAAAUGUUGGGUUAAGUCCCGUAACGAGCGCAACCCUUAUCCUUAUUUGCCAGCACUUCGGGUGGGAACUCUAAGGAGACUGCCGGUGACAAACCGGAGGAAGGUGGGGACGACGUCAAGUCAUCAUGGCCCUUACGACCAGGGCUA